rnacentral:lncRNA from 1 species
AAAGCCUAAAUUACACACAACACACGCAUCUGUCAUCACUUUGCUGAUACGACAAAUUCGAGUCAUGUCAAGGAUGAGAAGUGUCCACUUCUAACCACACAGAACUAAAAGGAAAAAGAAGACAGUUGAGUUUCCUCUCGCCGCCAAUGCACCAGGUUGGUGGGAUACCUGGUCUGCACACUAUCCUAAUACAAUAGGGGACAAAACGAAGAUAUCGCUACAACAC